rnacentral:rRNA from 1 species
CCUACGGGACGCAGCAGUGAGGAAUAUUGGUCAAUGGGCGGGAGCCUGAACCAGCCAAGUCGCGUGAGGGAAGACGGUCCUAUGGAUUGUAAACCUCUUUUGUCGGGGAGCAAAGAGACCACGUGUGGUCAAAAGCGAGAGUACCCGAAGAAAAAGCAUCGGCUAACUCCGUGCCAGCAGCCGCGGUAAUACGGAGGAUGCGAGCGUUAUCCGGAUUUAUUGGGUUUAAAGGGUGCGUAGGCGGGACGGUAAGUCAGCGGUAAAAAUGCGGAGCCCAACUCCGUCGAGCCAUUGAAACUGUCGUU